GACGGGUGAGUAAUGUCUGGGAAACUGCCUGAUGGAGGGGGAUAACUACUGGAAACGGUAGCUAAUACCGCAUAACGUCGCAAGACCAAAGAGGGGGACCUUCGGGCCUCUUGCCAUCGGAUGUGCCCAGAUGGGAUUAGCUUGUUGGUGGGGUAACGGCUCACCUAGGCGACGAUCCCUAGCUGGUCUGAGAGGAUGACCAGCCACACUGGAACUGAGACACGGUCCAGACUCCUACGGGAGGCAGCAGUGGGGAAUAUUGCACAAUGGGCGCAAGCCUGAUGCAGCCAUGCCGCGUGUAUGAAGAAGGCCUUCGGGUUGUAAAGUACUUUCAGCGGGGAGGAAGGGAGUAAAGUUAAUACCUUUGCUCAUUGACGUUACCCGCAGAAGAAGCACCGGCUAACUCCGUGC
rnacentral:rRNA from 1 species